rnacentral:rRNA from 1 species
CGUUAGCGGCGGACGGGUGAGUAACACGUGGGUAACCUACCUAUAAGACUGGGAUAACUUCGGGAAACCGGAGCUAAUACCGGAUAAUAUUUCGAACCGCAUGGUUCGAUAGUGAAAGAUGGUUUUGCUAUCACUUAUAGAUGGACCUGCGCCGUAUUAGCUAGUUGGUAAGGUAACGGCUUACCAAGGCGACGAUACGUAGCCGACCUGAGAGGGUGAUCGGCCACACUGGAACUGAGACACGGUCCAAACUCCUACGGGAGGCAGCAGCU